AAUACUUUAAAAAAGACAAUAUGCAUAUUUACUUAUGAUCGAUAGUAGUUGAAAAUACUACAAACUAUUUACAAAUAAGUUAAGUCUUAAAAUCAUAUCCAUCUCAAACUUAAACUUACUUAUGAAGAGAAAAUGAUAAUAAAUGGACACUACUGACAUAAUACCGUGCGUAGUCACAAUCAGAAAUUUGCUAUUUUCCGACUACAAAUUUUUAGUCGCAAUUCCGACUACUUUUCUGACUGCAAUAGUCGAAAAAUUAUAAUUGAUGAUUUUUUUUUUAAAAAAAAAAAAUUAUCCGACUACAGUUGCGAUAGCAGUGGUCAUAAAAUUUGGCAGAAAAUUUUGCGAAUUAACGUUUUCAACUACUGUAGUCGGAAAAAAAGUCAAUAAAAAAGUUUAACCAGUUUUCCGACUACAGUAAUCGGAAUUGUUAACAAAAAUAAUUUUUAAAGUUCCGACUACAGUAGUCGGAAUGCACAAAAGUCUUGACCAGAUUUUUCAGUUGAAAAUAGACUGAAUUUGCUGACUAAGCCAUCAAAAAGUUUGACUAAAAUAAAAAUAUAAAAAAUUGUUUUUCGACAAUUUAGGGUUCACUUUCUAAUCUCCCAUUUUCUUUGUACAUUACGAAUUUAUUUAGAUUUUCGUUGUUUUAAUGUAAUUUAUCUGUGGGAGAUUCAUCUGGCAAAAUACGGUUUCAAAUUCUCUAAAUUUGUCUAAUGUGAGCUUCUGUAUAGAAGAAGAUGAUGUCGGCCGAUUGAUUCCCCUCGCAAAGAGGAUUACAUAACGUGACUAUUUUAGAUGCUCAGGGAUCAAACAACAGCUUGAGUCGGUACUAUGCUCUGUGGAAUAAACCCUGACCAUUGUCAACUAUUUGAAACAGGUUCCAAACUCCCAUAUAUAUGUGAAAAAAAGAGAAUUAUACCGUGAGCUGGCUUCAGCUGCCGAAAGUGGCUGGGGUUUUAGUUCAAGAUGGAUGAGGAACGGAUCUGAUCUCACAACAACUAGUACAACAUCGAUUGUGCCAGUUGAUUUGAAUGCAUUACUUCUGAAGAUGGAACUGGACAUAGCCUUUCUAGCAAAUCUUAUUGGAGAAAGUAGCACAAUUACAUGUUUUACAGAAGCUUCUCAAGACUCAAAAUACACAAAAGGCCAUGAACUGUAUCUUUUGGAACGUCGAGAUGGGGCAAUGGCUUGAUUAUUGGCUUGCCAACAGCAACACAUUCGAGGGGUGGCAGGUGGUGUAUCAAAAAGGUACCACGGGCUUGGAGUAUAGUGUUCCUUGUGUCGUCCGUCGCCAUGUUGAAUGAUGCUUCUACUUCACAAAAUUCGGAAGAAAGACAGCGAUGCGAAAACAUAUUACAAUGCUGACGCAACGGUGGGAAACAACCGAAGCUAACUUUGCUAAAAUGAAAGAGUUCAUGAAGAAGAGACUGAAUUUGAUGAGUAAUUUGUUGUGGUUGUUUGAGAGUUUAUGGAUGUUUAGACUUGAUUGCUGUGGUUGUUUAUUAGCUAGUUAGACUUGAUUUGAAUGAUUUUGGAUUUUUAGACUUGAUUUUGCAGUGGAUGCUUUAGUUUGGUUGUUUAAUGGGGUUUGAAUGUUUAGAUUGUAUUUUAAUGUUUAA